rnacentral:rRNA from 1 species
GACAGAAAGGGCAAGCGUUAUUUUUCAUAAUCGUGUGUAAAAUGUGUGUAGACCGAAAUAAACUUUUUUAAAAAAAUUUUGUAACUAGAAAAAGUUCAGAUUAUUAGUUUAUUAUAUAUCGUUUUAUAUAAAUUUUGACAAUUUUCUUGACCAAAGGUAAAAUUUGUUCGAGAUAGAAAGGAAUGCCAAUUGCGAAGGCAAAAUUUUAGGUAAAACGUUAGUUGAGACACGAAAACAUGGGGAGCAAAAAGG